UGAAGUUUGACUUUCACCGGCCGUUCGUGUGUUUGUAGCCGACUACAAGUUCCAUACUAUAGCUAUCUGGGGUCGGUCACUUUCGCAUACUUUCAGCGCAUGAAUGAAGUAGUAUCCCCUUCAUUCGUGUUUUUCCACAGUACGAACGAGGAUGUGAAGAGGUAGCAGCGGUGUUCGACAAAAUAAGUAGCCGAAAUCAGUUCCAG